UACGUAGGGGGCAAGCGUUGUCCGGAAUCAUUGGGCGUAAAGAGCGUGUAGGCGGCCCGAUAAGUCCGCUGUGAAAGUCCAGGCUCAACCCUGGAAUGCCGGUGGAGUACUGUCGGGCUCGAAUCCGGAAGAGGUGAGUGGAAGUUCCUGGUGGUAGCGGUGAAAUGCGCAGAGUAUCAGGAGGAACACCAAUGGCGAAGGCGGCCAACUGGUCCGGUACUGACGCUGAGGUGCGAAAGCGUGGGGAGCGAACAGG
rnacentral:rRNA from 1 species